rnacentral:rRNA from 1 species
AUGCUUACCAACAUCUUGCUGACAGAGGACAUGGAGCCUAAGCUGUCUGAUUUUGGGCUAGCAAAAACGCUGCAAAUGGAGGAGACCAAGGUCUUCACAGAUGUGGGGGGAACCAUUGGUUACAUGGAUCCUGAGUACAUUAACACACUCCAAGCUUACUUGCGCGCAAGUGAUAUCUACAGCUUUGGCGUGGUUGUGCUGCAGCUUCUGUCAGGAAGAAAGGUCAUCGAACUUGACAUUGUUCCACGCGAUUCUCUCACCAAGAAGGUCUUUAUUAUUCGGAUAAUUGAUCUCCUGGCUCCAGCUCUGCAAAGGUUCUGUUGUGGUUCAUCUCAUUUGGCACAUCGGCUGCUCUACUUUGGCGUGCGGAGGUUCUUGUUGGACAGGCUCUGCUCCCACAACAAGAAUGCUCUCGCAGAGCAUACCCUAGCAUCUCCUCUGGAACCUGGUUGGGUUGGUUUUUCUCCUGACGAAGUCGAGAUCCUUAAAGAUUUCUACCCAAAGAGGUCAUACUACGGAGCUCCCGACUACCGAUGCAACCACUGCGGGGCUAGCUUUUGGUGGCGUGAGAGGAAGAAACAGUUAUUGGUGAAGGUUAUUAUUACAAGGCUGGGCUAUGACAAUUGCUGGUGGUUCCUGUCAUGCCGGGAAUGUCAUAAAACAACCUAUGUUUUUGGAAGGCAUUUCCGUUGCUCGGACCCCACUUGCCCUUCCGUUAAUGCAGAUCCCUCAUACUGCGUGUGCACCUUUGGAAGUGAUGGUGGAGCUGAAGCAGAAUUCAUGUGGUUUGAUAAAGCUGCAAGGAGUGUUGUUGGCAAGCCAGUCCUGCCUCUAAUUGAACGCAAAUACCCAGGUUUUACAAGUGUGCAUGAUCUUGCCCAGAUAGGAGGUGGCGAUGUGGCAAUGCCUACUGAAAUUUCCCGCAUUGUUGCUCAGAAGUAUGUGCUUGUUGUUUCUAUCUCCACCAAGAGCUUCCAGCCUACAAGCACUCAGCUGUUCUUCCAAGUUAGCAGGAUCGAUCAAACCUUUAAGCCUGAACUUCCACCCUUGGGAUUUGGUGGUGCAUCAGGCGCAUCUGGAACGUCGUCUUCUGCUGAGAACUCUGGUGCAGCGUUGCCCAUUCUCGAGUCUUUCCCUACAGGAUCGGCUACACUUACUGCACUCCCUCUAGAUGAGAUGAACACUCCUAUCUCUGCGUUCAAAAGCAAAGGGCAGGCCACUAUGCCUAAAACGCCUAGCAAAUCACCGUGCCCAAAAAAUUCUCGGUGCAAGCUUUUCACUACACCUUUGAAGAUCACCGCCGCUGAAGUUAAAGGGGGCUGA